rnacentral:rRNA from 1 species
AUGCGUGCCCUAUUCUGGAACAUCCGCGGCUUCGGCCAUGAUGGCCGACGCCGCCAGUUAGUGGAGUACUUGCAAGAUGAACGCAUCGACCUAGUGGCCGUGCAGGAGACCAUGCGCCGGGACUUUGCGCUCCCUGAGCUCGACCGGCUGAGCUCUCACCUAUUUGCGUGGCACUGGCUCCCUUCUAGUGGGAGUGCAGGCCACUCGGGUGGCAUCCUCCUAGGCGUGAAGGAUGCCACCUUUGAGGUGGGCAGCAUGGACCGGGGCGAAUUCUUCGUCAGCAUGGAGGUCUUUGAGAGAUCUCUCAAUUUCAAAUGGGAGAUCAUCAUCGUCUAUGGUCCGGCUGACCAUAGUAGGUCGGCCUCCUUCCUGGAGGAACUUCACCGGAAAAUCUCGGCCGCCUCCCUCCCCGUAGUUGUCGGGGGGGACUUCAACCUGUUG